rnacentral:rRNA from 1 species
GUUAGGAAUAUUGGACAAUGGGCGCAAGCCUGAUCCAGCCAUGCCGCGUGAGUGAUGAAGGCCUUCGGGUUGUAAAGCUCUUUAGUCCACGAAUAUAAUGACUGUAGUGGAAGAAUAAGCCCCGGCUAACUUCGUGCCAGCAGCCGCGGUAAUACGAAGGGGGCGAGCGUUAUUCGGAAUCACUGGGCGUAAAGCGUGCGUAUGCUGUUUUGUAAGUCAGAAGUGAAAGCCCAGGGCUUAACCCUGGAAUUGCUUUUGAAACUACAAGACUCGAAUUAGGGAGAGGAUAGCGGAAUUGUCAGUGUAGCAGUGAAAUGCGUAGAUAUUGACAGGAACACCAGUGGCGCAAGCGGCUAUCUGGACCGAUAUUGACGCUGAGGCACGAAAGCGUGGGGAGCAAACAGGAUUAGAUACCCUUGUAGUCC